rnacentral:rRNA from 1 species
AGCUACAGGCUUAACACAUGCAAGUCGAGGGGCAGCACGGUCUUAGCUUGCUAAGGCCGAUGGCGACCGGCGCACGGGUGAGUAACACGUAUCCAACCUGCCGUCUACUCUUGGACAGCCUUCUGAAAGGAAGAUUAAUACAAGAUGGCAUCAUGAGUCCGCAUGUUCACAUGAUUAAAGGUAUUCCGGUAGACGAUGGGGAUGCGUUCCAUUAGAUAGUAGGCGGGGUAACGGCCCACCUAGUCUUCGAUGGAUAGGGGUUCUGAGAGGAAGGUCCCCCACAUUGGAACUGAGACACGGUCCAAACUCCUACGGGAGGCAGCAGUGAGGAAUAUUGGUCAAUGGGCGAGAGCCUGAACCAGCCAAGUAGCGUGAAGGAUGACUGCCCUAUGGGUUGUAAACUUCUUUUAUAAAGGAAUAAAGUCGGGUAUGGAUACCCGUUUGCAUGUACUUUAUGAAUAAGGAUCGGCUAACUCCGUGCCAGCAGCCGCGGUAAUACGGAGGAUCCGAGCGUUAUCCGGAUUUAUUGGGUUUAAAGGGAGCGUAGAUGGAUGUUUAAGUCAGUUGUGAAAGUUUGCGGCUCAACCGUAAAAUUGCAGUUGAUACUGGAUAUCUUGAGUGCAGUUGAGGCAGGCGGAAUUCGUGGUGUAGCGGUGAAAUGCUUAGAUAUCACGAAGAACUCCGAUUGCGAAGGCAGCCUGCUAAGCUGCAACUGACAUUGAGGCUCGAAAGUGUGGGUAUCAAACAGGAUUAGAUACCCUGGUAGUCCACACGGUAAACGAUGAAUACUCGCUGUUUGCGAUAUACUGCAAGCGGCCAAGCGAAAGCGUUAAGUAUUCCACCUGGGGAGUACGCCGGCAACGGUGAAACUCAAAGGAAUUGACGGGGGCCCGCACAAGCGGAGGAACAUGUGGUUUAAUUCGAUGAUACGCGAGGAACCUUACCCGGGCUUAAAUUGCAGAUGAAUUACGGUGAAAGCCGUAAGCCGCAAGGCAUCUGUGAAGGUGCUGCAUGGUUGUCGUCAGCUCGUGCCGUGAGGUGUCGGCUUAAGUGCCAUAACGAGCGCAACCCUUGUUGUCAGUUACUAACAGGUUCCGCUGAGGACUCUGACAAGACUGCCAUCGUAAGAUGUGAGGAAGGUGGGGAUGACGUCAAAUCAGCACGGCCCUUACGUCCGGGGCUACACACGUGUUACAAUGGGGGGUACAGAGGGCCGCUACCACGCGAGUGGAUGCCAAUCCCCAAAACCUCUCUCAGUUCGGACUGGAGCCUGCAACCCGACUCCACGAAGCUGGAUUCGCUAGUAAUCGCGCAUCAGCCACGGCGCGGUGAAUACGUUCCCGGGCCUUGUACACACCGCCCGUCAAGCCAUGGGAGCCGGGGGUACCUGAAGUGCGUAACCGCGAGGAGCGCCCUAGGGUAAAACUGGUGACUGGGGCUAAGUCAUAAC